UAAAUUCUUAAUGCUCUCAUAUGCACCGCACCUUUCAUGCAUCACUUCAUUCUCUCCUUCACAUCUUUUCACCUUUUGCUUGCUUCUUGUAUAUUUUAACAUUAUGAUAGUACAAGGAGAAGAUAUCAUCACGCUCGCUGAUGGAUUCAUUCGAUCAUUGUGUGCAGGGGGUGGAGAAAGAUAGGAACAUACAUGGAACACUCAUUUAAGCAAGAAAUUAUAAGUAGUUUCUGUCAAGAAGCAACUAGGGCAGAAGCAUGUUCUACGGCCUCUUCCCCGGACCUUAAACCGGGCGGGGAUAAGACUGUGGAGCUCCUACAUAUAUCAACCUACUCACCAUCUUAUACGAAGAAGAUCGAAUACCAUUUUAACAGAAUAUUACAGUAAUAAAUAUUAUGUCGGCAGUCAUACUUGAAUAAGAAUAUCAUGUAACAAAAUCUAGUGAGCAUUCUUUAAUUAGAUUAUAUCAGACAUUGUAAAUUUAGAAUGAUUAUUAAAUGAUUAAUUCUCCCGAAAUCUCAAGAUGCUGGGAGGAAAGAGUUGUUGUCAUCAUAUUAUAUUUUAACAUAAUGCAGAUCAAGGCAUGUAUUUAUGUUUUA